rnacentral:lncRNA from 1 species
UUUUCUUCUGUGUUGUAUUCUAUUAAAUAUAAAUCUAUCUUAAGCAGCUGGAACUUAAGUUUCCAGGAUUCCAGUGCAUAGGCCAGAUUUUUCAAGAUAUAGACCUGUAAUUUUCCCCUUAGAUACAACAGAACAAAAAAUAUAUGAUAUGAGACAGUUGUCCUAUUACGUUGAUUUUAGCCAAGAAAAUCAUUAGAUACUGAAGGUGUGGUUUCAGCCUUUCUGAACAAAAAAGUACUAUGUAAUAUAGUAUAUAGCUAGUAUGAAACUGUUAGCUAACUAUGCCAAACCUUAGCAGAAGUUCAGUUCAAGCCUGAAUGAUUUUGACUGGGUUUAGUCACAUCCAAUAUAGCCUAGUAACCUCAUACAAUAUAGCUUGCACUCUGACCAGCUUGUAGUUGAUUUCAGCUGCAAGUGCUGCUAUAAUCAGCAUAAUUAAUUAAACCAAACACAAAUAUUGUGAAAAGUAACUGAUAUUGUAUUAAGGCUUCUUAAAUAAAAUGAUAAGAUCUCAUUUAAAAAGAACACAUAACUUUAGAUUUUUCAUGGUUGUAUCUGUUAAAACUUAUUUUUAUCUUCAUUUCUCUCUGUUCAGAGUUCUGCCUGCAGUUUAUCACUUGAGUGCCACAUAAAGUGACUUCUUUGAAGCUAAAUAGGCAAGUUUUUGACAUCUUGGGUGGGAUUCAUCUAAGGGAACCUGCAUGGAUGCCUGUGUUUGGCUUCACAGCUGACAUGCCCAAGUUUCUCACUACCACUUCCUUGCAAAAUCUUCUGAGUCUAAAACAUGAGCAAGAAGUUCUGCCCAAGAGCAAGGAAUCUGCCUGUCUCAUUCUCAGCUGGCAAGGCUUAUCAGAACUGGGAAUACUGUGGAAGAUCAGAGCCCUUUUGGAACAACAAAAUUAUUUUAGAUUGUCUUCAUUCAUAUAGCCUUGCAGGUGAAAUUUGAACCAAAAAAAAUGCUUUUCCUUUACAAACACACUUAAAACUAUCACAGUUCUUUCAGUAUAAUUUGCUAUUUUAUGACUAGACUUAAAUGCUGUAAAUGGUCCAUGCUGACCUUUGGCAUCAACAUGUAGUGCAUCAAUAUUGGCAGUGCAUGGUAUCUGAAUGUAGCUCAAUUCUGUGAUAUUUUGCUCUGAGUUUGUGACACUUACUCAUUUCUUUUAUGUUUUCAUAUUUGAUAGCAAUCUAUUUUCCAACCAAUUAUUUUUAUUAAGUUUUUGUUUCAAAAUAUUACACCAU